CUGAAGUGGCUCCAACUGUCUCCAUCAUCAGACACACCCCCUGGCCCUGGCCACUGGGAGGUGCCCCAGAGACAGCAGGUGGGGCUUCUGCUCUCUAAAUACAGGAGGCCCUUUCAGCUUCUGCUCUAAGCUCCUUUUAAACCACCACUGGAGAUUGGAAAAAUCAAAACUUCACAGCAGUGAUAAGAGCACUGAAAAGAAGCAGAUUUCCUGAGUCUUGAAAGGAAGGGGAAUUGGAAGAUAAUAUUUUUCUCACUGCUGUGCCUGUGUUUUCUUAGGCCCAGCUAAAUCCAAGGCGGUCUCUCCCAGGCCUAGGCUCUCCGGAGGACUGCGCGCAGGCAGCUGCCGAGGGAACAAGGGAACUUGCUGCCCAAAAUGUGUAGCUGCGAGUCCAAGAAAAGGACACAAAAUCCUCAGGAAGAAGAUUACUCAGUGUAUUUAAUGCUGCCCUUCCUCAAUUCCACCCAAAGCUCACAUGGCGACACGAAGGGCAUUGGUGAGGAAACCAGCGAGGAGUCUGCAUGAGCCUGAGAUGUUGCUAAGCUCUCUGAUAUCUGCGGUGAGAGUGUCUACGCGAAGAUUACCCAUGCUGGGCUCCAGCGUUUCAACCCUAACCCCACAAUGAGCGCCUGGUCACUCUGUGGUCUAAACUCUGAGAGAAGAGAGCAUUCCAUACUAUACUACAUUUCGUACACAAUUAUUUGAUACAUGGAAGAAACCAUAAAUAUUAUUUAUCUUACCAUGGGCCUCAGAAUGUCCAAACACCACAGCUAAUUAGGGUUCAAUAAUAGAUUCAAUAAGCUGAAGCCUGUUUUUCUGGUUUAUCAAAACAAGUAAAGCAAUGGCCAUUACAUUCUAAUUUGUAAGCAUUUUGUUUGAUGGCUUUGAGUAGAAAGUACUUAGCUUUGCCUGUCCUAUAGGAGGUCCAGCCACCAUCUAAAGUCAGCACUAAACUAUAUCUGUUGCCAUUUACGAUACUUUUUUCCAUUUGUGGAAACAAGUUAUUUGUUAUAACCAAACAUAUAUUCAAAUACAGACGGAGCUUUUGCUAAAAGAUUAGAAAGUCAAUAUUUCCUAAUUGGCAAGGAGAAGGAUUUGGUCAAAGCCAAUGAGAAUUUCUUCUAUGAUCAGUCUUUCCCCAGGAGCUGGCUCCUGUGAAGAUUAUAACUCACCUGCUGCAGAUGCGAGUAAAGUUGACACUGUGAAGCAAAGCAUACUAGUAUAUUUCACCAUCUCAGGGUACCCCAGUUGAAAAGUUUUAAUCAAGACUCCCUAAACCAUGAUUUCUCAACUUCAGCACUAUUGACUUUGAGGGUAGAUAAUUCUUUGUUGUAGGGGCUGUCCUAUGCAUUGUCAAUGUUUAGCAGCAUUCCUGGCUGACACCCACUAGAUGCUGGUAACAUCCUCCUCACCAGUCAUGACAACAAAAAAUGCAUCCAGACAUUGCCAAUGUCCCCUGGGGAAGAAAAAUCACCCCCAGUGAUGCUCCUCCACUCCUUGUGCAUGAUAUACAUUAAUAUUUCCAUGGAGGUGACUUGCCAAGGUUCAUAACCUUGUCCUUAAGCAAGAAUUUGCAUGUGUGUGUACCUUUAUUUUUUUAAUGAAUUGAACAUUUAUUUAAAAUCAUAUUGUGCUAUUUAUAGUAUUCUUGUCUUGCAUGUUUUACUUAAUCACAUAUCCUCCAGAACUGUGAGAAUUUUGUUUCUGCUAUUAAGCUACCUAGUCUAUGGUAUUUUGUUAUAGAAGUUCAUAUUAACUAAAUACUAACUAAAUCAAUCUCUCUCUUUCUUCAUAAAUUUAUUUUUAAACUAUCUUUAAAAGAAUAUACUGUGAGCAUGAUUUCCAUUCUUAACAUAUUAAACAUUCAUUUUUCACUUUAUAAUGAUAGCAAAACAAAAUUAUCUGAUGUCAUGUUUUUUAAAACUAUAUAAUAAAAUUUUUAUUAUUUAAAAAAUUUAUAUAUACAUAUAUAAGUAAUAUGUAAAAUGAUAUAGCCACUCUGAAAAACAGUUUGGCAAUUUAUUACAAAACUAAGCACGCAAUUACCAUUUGACCCAGAAGUGAUUGUACUAUACCUGGUCACUUAUCCCAGAGAGAUAAACGUAUGCUCCCACAAAAAUCUGUACAUGAAAGUUCACAGCAGCUUCACUGGUGAUAGCCAAAAAAUGAAAACAACCUAGAUAUCCUUCAGUGAGUGAAUGUUUAGAAAGAAAAGAAAGUGGUAUAUUUACUUAUUUUCAUAGUAUAAAAGAUUGUAUUAUGAAAGUUAAUAUUAAAAUAUAUAAAUCCUUG
rnacentral:lncRNA from 10 species